rnacentral:rRNA from 1 species
AAAUUUUUUUAAACGAGCAUUAGAUGAAAAUCUUGACAAAAAAAUAAGGGACGUCACGCUACGAAAAGUUAUAAGGAGGCAUAGGCUUGUGAUUUAUAAAUAUCCCAUUAAGAGAAAACUCAAAUAAUUUAUAUAUAAAAAGUGUGAACUGAAUCAUCUUAGUAACAUGAGAAUAAUCAAACGAGAUAUCGUUAAUAGUGGUGAAUGAAAACGAUAAUAUGACUUUUUAAGUUAUAAUUUUAAUUUACAAUUUUUUGGUAGACCUAAGAAGGUAAAAGUCCUGUAUUAAAUGAAAAUUAUAAUUAUUUAAGCUAAGUAAUAUGGAUUUUAAUUCUGUAUGAACAAAGGAGAGCCACCUUCUAAGUCAUAAAAUUUUUUUGAUCGAUAGUGUACGAGUACCGUGAGGGAAAGAAAAAAUAUUUCAGAAGAAAUAAAUUUGAAAUCUAAUGUUUAUAAGUGUUCGGAAUUUUAAUUAAUAACGAAAUGCCUUUUGCAUAAUGAGUCAGUAAGUUAAUAUAUAAAGCAAGCUUAAGCAUUAAUGUAUAGGCUAACUAAAAAAGUUAUAUAUAUUAAACCUGAAGUCAAGUGAUCUAACUGUGAGCAAGUUGAAAAUAUUUUAACAUAUAUUGGAAGACUGAACUCACAUAUGUAGCAAAAUAUGGAGAUGACUUGUAGUUAGGGGUGAAAGAUCAAUCAAACUUGACGAUAGCCGGUUUUUCACGAAAUGUAUUUAAGUACUACAUUAUUAAUAUUUAAAUUAUGAGUAGAGUACAAAUUAAAUAAGGGGAUGUAAAAAUUUACUAAAUUUAAUUUAACUCCUAAUUAAAGUUUAAUAUAUAAUAAUAGACAGUCUUUAAGCGAUAAGGUUUUGAGACGAAAGGAAAACAAUCCAAAUCGAAUACUAAGAUCUCAAAAUUAUAAUUUAGGGAAGAAAAUUUUUAAAAGAAUCAAAUAAUUUUUUGGAUAGGCUUAGAAGCAGCCUUUUAUUAGAGAAAGCGUUUUAGCUCAAUAUUUUUUCUUUAAGAAUUUAAAAUGAAAGGAGACUCAAAAAUUAUAUAUCGAAGUAACGGAUUAAUUUUAAAAAAUUAAUGGUAGUGAAACGUUCUGUAAGAUUUUAUUAAUUGUUAAAUCAAUAAAAAAAUAUCAGAAGUGCUAAUGCUGACAUGAGUAGCGUAAAUUAUGUUAAUAAAUCAUAAUCACUUUAUGUUUAAGGUUUUCAAUGUACUUUUAAAUACGUUGAGUUAGUCGGUCCUUAAGAGGUGAGUGAAAACUGUACUUGAUAGGAAAUUAUACUAAUUAUAUGUGUUAGAUAAACCUAACAUGAAAAAAAAUAAACUUUAUUUUUUUGUUAAAUAAGGUAGAAAAAAACUAUUUUUCGAGAAAAAAUUAUAAUAUUUAAAAACCGUACCAAAACCGACACAGGUAAACUUAUCGAGAAGAUUAAAGUGAAUGAAUAAAUCAUAUUGAAGGAACUUGGCAAAUUAACUCUGUAUGUUCGCUAUAAAGAGAGCCUUAUUUGGUGUAAUAAAAUAGAAAGUAACGACUGGUUAUCAAAACCACAGGACUCUGCAAAUUAUUAUAUGAAGUAUAGAGUCUGAUGCCUGCCCAGUGCUUAAAAGUGAUAAAUUUAGGUGUUUAAGCUUAAAUUUUAAGUCUAAGUAAACGGCGGUUCUAACUAUAAGAAUCCUUAGGUAGCGAAAUUCCUUGACGGGUAAAUUCCGUCCUGCAUGAAUGGCGUAACGAUUGCUUUACUGUCUCCAAUAUGAAUUCAGCGAAAUUACAAUACCUAUGAAAAUGUAGGUUACUUACAGUAAGACGGAAAGACCCUAGAUCCUUUACUCUAUUUUUAUAUUGUAAAAGUUAAAAGCUUGUAAAGUAUAAGUGGGAGUAAAAUUGAUUUUUACGCUAAUGAAAUACCACUCAAGCUUUAGAUUUAUUACUAAUUUUUUAUAAAAAAGACCGUAUAAGAAAGGGAGUUUACUUGGGAUGAGUACCUCCUAAAAUGUAACGGAGGUGUACGAAGGUAAUUUACAGGUGUUUAAUAAACAUUGCAGUGUAUAAUGGCGAAAAAUUGCUUGACAAUUAGACCGAUAAGUCGAAUUGGGACGUAAGUCAGUCAUAGUGAUCCGAUAAAAAAGAGUGGAAUUUUUAUCGCUUAACAAAUAAAAGGAACUCUAGGGAUAACAGAUUCAUCGUGGUCGAGAGUUCUUAUUGACACCACGGUUUGAUACCUCGAUGUCGACUCAUCUUAUCCUGAAAUUGCAAAAAAUUUCAAGGGUCUAGUUGUUCGCUAGUUAAAAAGGUACGUGAGUUGGGUUCAGAACGUCGUGAGACAGUUCGGUCCCUAUCUACUGUGAGAAAGAAAAAAAAGAAGUUUAUUUCUAGUACGAGAGGAUCGAAAUAAUUUAACCACUGGUGUAUUGAUUGUUUUGCCUAUAGCAUUGUCAAGUAGCUACGUUAAGAAAGUAAUAAGUACUGAACGAAUCAAAAGUACAAAAACAACUUUUUCAUUUUUCAUGAAUAAUCUAAAAGAUCAUUAGAUAGAUCGGUUUAAAAACUUAGUUUGGUAACAAACGUUUAAUUUAUACGAAUUUAUUCAAUAUAAAUUUUA